GGUCCCAUAGUGUAGUGGUUAGCACCCUGGACUUUGAAUCCAGUAACCUGAGUUCGAAUCUCAGUGGGACCG
rfam:Allomyces macrogynus ATCC 38327 genomic scaffold supercont3.62, whole genome shotgun sequence.